UGCCUCGACAGAUCAGGAGGCAGCCUGCUGUACAGCCCCACCAAAUUGGCAAAUAUCAUCGGUGCGUGUGCUGUACUGCACAAUUUGGCGAACCGGCACGGCCUACCAGCUGAGGUGGCCGAUGACCUUGAGGACCCCGUCCAUCCACCGGAUCCUGUCCAACGUGCGGAUGCCCGAGGGAGUCAAGUCCGGGGACAAAUUGUUAAUAAUUACUUUGCCUGAUCGCUGCGUGGGGAGGCCAGCACUGACAAGGAGCAACCACCUUUGAAAAGAAAGAAGAAAAAAAAAUUUGUUCAUCUUGGAUUAUGUUCAUGGACAAAAUGAGUUUUGUGAAAACAUAAACAAGUUAAUUUUGGCCAAAAUAUUUGUGGACAUUGAUUCAUUCCAAAU